ACACCACUCAUCUACACACUUGUCGCAGAAAGCGCGAUAGAGGGGAUCCCAAGUGCUUGCUCUUAGGAGUAAGCUGUUUUCUUGUUAAAUCGCAGAGGGAGGAAGGGCUGGGUAAGACGGGUGCCACCCGCCGCGGUAAUACCUGCAGCUCAAGUGGGGACCGCUAUUAUUGGGCCCAAAACGUCCGUAGCCUGCUGGGUAAAUGCCUGGGUAAAUCGUGUCGCUUAACGAUACGAUUUCCGGGUAGACUGCCUAGCUUGAGACCGGAGGAAGUUAGAGGUACUCCUGGGGUAGGGGGGAAAUCCGGAAAUCCUGGGGGGACACCCAGGGGGGAAGGGGUCUAACUAGGACGGGUCUGACGGUGAGGAACAAAACCUUGGGGCGCAAACCGGAUUAAAUACCCGGGUAGUCCAGGGCGCAAACGCUGCUUGCUUGAUGUUAGCUGGGCUCCGAGCUCAGCUAGGGUCGAAGAGAAGUUGUUAAGCAAGUUGCCUGGAAAGUACAAUCGCAAGAUUGAAACUUAAAGGAAUUGGCGGGGGAAAGGCCGAAUUCUUUUAAACCUGCGGGACUAGUCCCUUUAGGGAGGGUUAAUUCUGAGCUUGGGGUAAUCAUGGCCAUAGUUGUUUCCGGAAA
rnacentral:rRNA from 1 species